GUGAGGAAUUUUCCGCAAUGGGCGAAAGCCUGACGGAGCAAUGCCGCGUGAAGGAUGAAGGCCUAUGGGUUGUAAACUUCUUUUCUCAGAAAAGAAUUAUGACGGUAUCUGAGGAAUAAGCAUCGGCUAACUCUGUGCCAGCAGCCGCGGUAAGACAGAGGAUGCAAGCGUUAUCCGGAAUGAUUGGGCGUAAAGCGUCUGUAGGUUGUUUAAAAAGUAUUCUGUCAAAGAUUAGGGCAUAACCCUAGAUAGGCAGAAUAAACUUUUAAGCUAGAGUUUGGUAGAGGCAGAGGGAAUUCCCGGUGGAGCGGUGAAAUGCGUAGAUAUCGGGAGGAACACCAAAGGCGAAGGCACUCUGCUGGGCCAAUACUAACACUGAGAGACGAAAGCGAGGGGAGCAAAUGGGAUUAGAUACCCGUGUAGUCC
rnacentral:rRNA from 1 species